GACGAACGCUGGCGGCGUGCUUAACACAUGCAAGUCGUACGGAAAGGCCCUGCUUUUGUGGGGUGCUCGAGUGGCGAACGGGUGAGUAACACGUGAGUAACCUGCCCUUGACUUUGGGAUAACUUCAGGAAACUGGGGCUAAUACCGGAUAGGAGCUCCUGCUGCAUGGUGGGGGUUGGAAAGUUUCGGCGGUUGGGGAUGGACUCGCGGCUUAUCAGCUUGUUGGUGGGGUAGUGGCUUACCAAGGCUUUGACGGGUAGCCGGCCUGAGAGGGUGACCGGCCACAUUGGGACUGAGAUACGGCCCAGACUCCUACGGGAGGCAGAAGUGGGGAAUAUUGCACAAUGGGCGGAAGCCUGAUGCAGCAACGCCGCGUGCGGGAUGACGGCCUUCGGGUUGUAAACCGCUUUCGCCUGUGACGAAGCGUGAGUGACGGUAAUGGGUAAAGAAGCACCGGCUAACUACGUG
rnacentral:rRNA from 1 species